GAAAGUGUUGAUUGGAUCAGAUUCAAGCAGUGCAUUAAAUAGUUUUAAGAACAUGCAGUCGGACGUGAGGCAGGACAUUAUGUUGGAAAUAGCCCAAACUGUUUACAGAAUUAAAAGAGUAGGAGUAAUAGUAAAAUUCAUAUGGAUUCCAGCUCAUAUAGGGGUAGACGGAAAUGAGUUGGCAGACAAAUAUGCAAAAAAUGCAACCAAAAAAACAGAGAUAGAUAUGGUAAUAAAUUAUAGUAAGGCGGAGGUUAAAAGUAUAAUCAAAGAAGAAAUGAGGAAGAAGUGGCAGGAAAAGUGGAAUAUGGAAACAAAAGCGAGAAUGUACUACAAUAUCCAGAAGAAGAGUAGUGAGUGAAGGCUAUUAGGAUCCACACUCCAUUUCAGAAGGUGGCGGUAAUGCACACUUAAAAGUUGUUUGCCAACCGCCAAUUUAAAAAA